rnacentral:rRNA from 1 species
AGGUCAAGCUACAAAGGGCGCAUGGUGAAUGCCUUGGCAUCAGGAGCCGAUGAAGGACGUGAUAAGCUGCGAUAAGCUUCGGGUAGGCGCACAUAGCCUGAGAUCCGAAGAUCUCCGAAUGAGGAAACUCACAUGGGAAACCCCAUGUAUCAUUAAGUGAAUACAUAGCUUAAUGAAGGUAACCCAGGGAACUGAAACAUCUAAGUACCUGGAGGAAGAGAAAGAAAAAUCGAUUUUCUUAGUAGCGGCGAGCGAAAGGGAAAGAGCCCAAACCGGAAACUUGUUUCCGGGGUUGUGGACAUAACAUAAAAGUGGAGGCUAUUGUAACUGAAGAGAACUGGAAAGUUCCACCGUAGAAGGUAAUAGUCCUGUAAGUGAAACGAGAAGACCACGAGUUAUGAUCCAGAGUACCACGAGACACGUGAAACCUUGUGGGAAGCAGGGAGGACCACCUCCCAAGGCUAAAUACUACCUGAUGACCGAUAGUGAAGCAGUACCGUGAGGGAAAGGUGAAAAGAACCCCGGGAGGGGAGUGAAAUAGAACCUGAAACCGUGUGCCUACAACCGCUCAGAGCCCCUUAUGAGGGUGAUGAGGUGCUUUUUGUAGAACGAGCCAACGAGUUACGGUAUGUAGCAAGGUUAAGUACUUAAGGUACGGAGCCGAAGGGAAACCGAGUCUGAAUAGGGCGACUAGUUGCAUGCCGUAGACCCGAAACCGGGUGACCUAUCCAUGGCCAGGUUGAAGCGAGGGUAAAACCUCGUGGAGGACCGAACCACGUUGCUGUUGAAAAAGCAUGGGAUGAGCUGUGGAUAGCGGAGAAAUUCCAAUCGAACCCGGAGAUAGCUGGUUCUCUCCGAAAUAGCUUUAGGGCUAGCGUCGAGUAUGAGUAGUGGAGGUAGAGCACUGAAUGGGCUAGGGGGCAUAGCGCUUACCGAACCUUAUCAAACUCCGAAUGCCACAUACUUUGAGCUCGGCAGUCAGACUACGAAUGAUAAGAUCCGUGGUCAAAAGGGAAACAGCCCAGAUCGUCAGCUAAGGUCCCAAAGUGUAAGUUAAGUGGGAAAGGAUGUGAGAUUUCUAAGACAACUAGGAUGUUGGCUUAGAAGCAGCCAUUCAUUAAAAGAGUGCGUAAUAGCUCACUAGUCGAGAGAUCUUGCGCCGAAAAUGUAACGGGGCUAAACUUACCACCGAAGCUACGGGCUUGAACUUAGUUCAAGCGGUAGGAGAGCGUCGUAACCGGGCUGAAGUCGUACCGUAAGGAGCGGUGGACUGGUUACGAGUGAGAAUGUUGGCAUCAGUAGCGAGAUGUGGGUGAGAAUCCCACAGGCCGAAAACCUAAGGUUUCCUCAGGAAGGUUCGUCCGCUGAGGGUUAGUCGGGACCUAAGCCGAGGCCGAAAGGCGUAGGUGAUGGACAACUGGUUGAUAUUCCAGUACCACUACCAUCGUUAUUAUCGAUGGCGUGACGCAGGAGGAUAGUGUGUGCUAGCUAUUGGAUGCUAGUCUAAGCGUUUAGGCAGUGAGAGUAGGCAAAUCCGCUCUCAUAAUGCUGAGGCGUGAUGGGGAAGGUUCUACGGAACCGAAGUACAUGAUUCCACGCUGCCAAGAAAAGCGUCUAGAGAGAGAAGUAGUGCCCGUACCGCAAACCGACACAGGUAGGUGAGGAGAGAAUCCUAAGGCCGGCGGAAGAAUUACAGUUAAGGAACUCGGCAAAUUGACCCCGUAAGUUCGCGAGAAGGGGUGCCUACGAGAGUAGGCCGCAGAGAAUAGGCCCAAGCAACUGUUUAGCAAAAACACAGGUCUCUGCUAAAGCGUAAGCUGAUGUAUAGGGGCUGACGCCUGCCCGGUGCUGGAAGGUUAAGGGGAACACUUAGCGCAAGCGAAGGUGUGAACUUAAGCCCCAGUAAACGGCGGCCGUAACUAUAACGGUCCUAAGGUAGCGAAAUUCCUUGUCAGGUAAGUUCUGACCCGCACGAAUGGCGUAAUGACUUGGGCACUGUCUCAACUGUAAAUCCGGCGAAGUUGUAGUGCGAGUGAAGAUGCUCGCUACCCGCGAUUGGACGGAAAGACCCCGUAGAGCUUUACUGUAGCUUAGCAUUGAGUUUUGGUAUUGUCUGUACAGGAUAGGUGGGAGACUAGGAAACCAGGGCGUCAGCCUUGGUGGAGUCAACCUUGGGAUACCACCCUGACAGUACUGAAAUUCUAACUGGCGGCCAUGAAUCUGGUCACAGGACAUUGUUAGGUGGGCAGUUUGACUGGGGCGGUCGCCUCCUAAAAAGUAACGGAGGCGCCCAAAGGUUCCCUCAGAACGGUCGGAAAUCGUUCGAAGAGUGCAAAGGCAGAAGGGAGCCUGACUGCGACACCCACAAGUGGAGCAGGGACGAAAGUCGGGCUUAGUGAUCCGGUGGUACCUCGUGGGAGGGCCAUCGCUCAACGGAUAAAAGCUACCUCGGGGAUAACAGGCUGAUCUCCCCCAAGAGUCCACAUCGACGGGGAGGUUUGGCACCUCGAUGUCGGCUCGUCGCAUCCUGGGGCUGAAGUAGGUCCCAAGGGUUGGGCUGUUCGCCCAUUAAAGCGGCACGCGAGCUGGGUUCAGAACGUCGUGAGACAGUUCGGUCCCUAUCCGUCGCGGGCGUAGGAAAUUUGAGAGGAGCUGUCCUUAGUACGAGAGGACCGGGAUGGACUGACCUCUGGUGUACCAGUUGUUCCGCCAGGAGCACAGCUGGGUAGCUAAGUCGGGAAUGGAUAAACGCUGAAAGCAUCUAAGCGUGAAGCCAACCU